UUACGACCACAUCACGUUGAAACACCGGCUCCCGUACGCUCACCGAAGUUGAGCAGCGUUGAGUCUGGCCAGUACCUAGAUGGGUGACCGCUUGGGAAUACCAGGUGCAGUAA